UACAGAGGGGGCAAGCGUUGUUCGGAAUUACUGGGCGUAAAGGGCGCGUAGGUGGCCUUCUAAGUUGAACGUGAAAUCCCUGGGCUCAACCCAGGAACUGCGUCCAAGACUGGGAGGCUUGAAUUCGGGAGAGGAAUGCGGAAUUCCAGGUGUAGCGGUGAAAUGCGUAGAUAUCUGGAGGAACACCAGAGGCGAAGGCGGCUACCUGGACAAUAGCUGACGCUCAGGCACGAAAGCGUGGGGAGCAAAAGGG
rnacentral:rRNA from 1 species